rnacentral:tRNA from 1 species
GGCGGCGUAGCUCAGUUGGCAGAGCAGCGGAAUCAUAAUCCGCGUGUCGGGGGUUCGAUCCCCUCCGCCGCCA